CUCCGUUUAUGUUGUGAUCAGCUGAGAUCAACUCUUCAACUUGAGAGUUUGAUCCUGGCUCAGAGCGAACGCUGGCGGCAGGCUUAACACA
rnacentral:rRNA from 1 species